rnacentral:rRNA from 1 species
AGUGAACGCUGGCGGUAGGCCUAACACAUGCCAGUCGAACGGCAGCACAGUAAGAGCUUGCUCUUACGGGUGGCGAGUGGCGGACGGGUGAGGAAUACAUCGGAAUCUACUUUUUCGUGGGGGAUAACGUAGGGAAACUUACGCUAAUACCGCAUACGACCUACGGGUGAAAGCAUGGGAUCUUCGGACCUUGCGCGAUUGAAUGAGCCGAUGUCGGAUUAGCUAGUUGGCGGGGUAAAGGCCCACCAAGGCGACGAGCCGUAGCUGGUCUGAGAGGAUGAUAAGCCACACUGGAACUGAGCCACGGUCCAGACUACUACGGGAGGCAGCAGUGGGGAAUAUUGGACAAUGGGCGCAAGCAUGAUCCAGCCAUACCGCGUGGGUGAAGAAGGCCUUCGGGUUGUAAAGACCUUUUGUUGGGAAAGAAAAGCAGCAGGUUAAUACCCCGCUGUUCUGACGGUACCCAAAGAAUAAGCACCGGCUAACUUCGUG